rnacentral:tRNA from 1 species
GACCACGUAGCUCAGUUGGCAGAGCAUUGGGCUAGUAUUCCAACGGUCGUAGGUUCGAUUCCCGCCGUGGCCA